GAAAUCUGGUUUCUCUUCAGAUCGUAUAAAUCUUUCGCCUUUUACUAAAGAUUUCCAUUCCAAAACCACCAAAAUGGAUUUUUCAACCUUGUUAAACCCCAUAUUAAUUUUUAUGCAG
ensembl:snRNA U5 U5 spliceosomal RNA